AUUGAACGCUGGCGGAAUGCUUUACACAUGCAAGUCGAACGGCAGCACGGACUUCGGUCUGGUGGCGAGUGGCGAACGGGUGAGUAAUGUAUCGGAACGUGCCCAGUCGUGGGGGAUAACGUAGUGAAAAUUACGCUAAUACCGCAUACGAUCUAUGGAUGAAAGCGGGGGAUCGCAAGACCUCGCGCGAUUGGAGCGGACGAUAUCAGAUUAGGUAGUUGGUGGGGUAAAGGCCCACCAAGCCAACGAUCUGUAGCUGGUCUGAGAGGACGACCAGCCACACUGGAACUGAGACACGGUCCAGACUCCUACGGGAGGCAGCAGUGGGGAAUUUUGGACAAUGGGCGAAAGUCUGAUCCAGCCAUUCCGCGUGCAGGAUGAAGGCCCUCGGGUUGUAAACUGCUUUUGUACAGAACGAAAAGGUUUCUACUAAUACUAGGAGCUCAUGACGGUACUGUAAGAAUAAGCACCGGCUAACUACGUGCCAGCCGCCGCAGUAA
rnacentral:rRNA from 1 species